ensembl:snRNA U6 U6 spliceosomal RNA
GUGCUCGCUUCAGCAGCACAUAAACUAACAUUGGAACGAAACAGAGAAGAUUAGCAUGGCCCCUGUGCAAGGAUGACACGCAAAUUUAUGAAGUGUUCCAUAUUUUU